rnacentral:snoRNA from 1 species
UUGAACUUUAAAAUACAAUUUUGCAGUGCUUUAAGAGGCUGAUCCAAAAGGGUAAAGGAAUUCUCCACAAAACCCAAAGAAGCAAUUAUAAAACUCCUCUUUGGAUCUUGUCUGCAGUCAAAUUU